rnacentral:lncRNA from 1 species
UGUCCUAUCCGGAAGUCUCCUUCCGGAGACGGAAAUCAGUAACGCGAGGGCCCGCCUCUAUUCCUUACUGGCCUGCACGUGCCUCGAGGGUGCGCAGGCCAAGCUCUUUCGGUGAUGGCGUUUUCCUAGCCACGGCCCGGGGACACAGUGUGCAUUCCCUCCGCUAGAAGAAAUAGUGCUUUUGAAGCAGCUCCGGUACGACUCCCACCCGUUUUCUCAGCAUUCUCCUUCCGAUUCGGCGCAGCAUGUGGGGGACGAGGGGCGGCUUUCUAGACCGGAGGGCGAGCUGCCCCGGGAGCCCCGCUUGGCUUUAGCCUCCCGGCGCUCAUUCAUCUUCUGAAACAAGCCCUCUGCCACUGGAUCUGUCUGUGUAAGGAAGACGCCGAAGCAGCGCCGCGAGCCGCUUCCCACCUAGACCAAACUAAGCCAUCCUGACCUCAGCUGACACGGACCACAGCCGGCAUCUUGGAUUGUAAACUGACCAAAGGACGGGCUAACCACAAAGCCCCCCACUCUCCCGACGGAGCUGCAACCACUGGCUGGAGGACCCGGCUCAGAAACCCCAAUGACCUCCAGUCGGUGAACUGAAGCCGUGCCGUGAGAGCCUGGAGGACGAGCCCACUAAAGCCCUUCUAACCGAAGACAUGAAACGAGACCAAAGCAAUGAGGGAUGGAAACGUAACGCGUGCAGGGUAGCCCUGCUAGGCUCCAGCACUCUCAUGCUCCUCCUGGUAAGUACAGGCGUCCAUUCCACUGGAUUGAAGAAGUGACAAACUGAAGUUCUCAGAGAGGGAGUCACAGUCUUAACUACUUCUCACUAUGGAGCAGCAUUACCUCAAUAUAUAGGUAUUUGGAAUCAAUUGAGAAUGACACCAUCUGAAUCGGCUUUUGAAACCCUCUCUCUGGCAAACCCUCUUUUCGAUGAACUUGUUAUAUAGAGUUUCUAAAAUACUAGCAAAGUCUUGCCAUAGACUUCCAGCAAAAAGACAAAUAAAUGCUAUUAUAUAGUUACUUUCA